rnacentral:antisense_RNA from 1 species
CAAAUUUGGUUUCAGCGGUCUUGUACACCCUGUUACCACGGUUCAGAAACUUGCAGGUUUCUGAUCCUUCGAGAAAACCGCCUUGCAGGGCGGUUUUUUCGU